UUACGACCAUAUCACGUUGGAACACCGGUCCUCGUACAAUCACCGAAGUUAAGCAACAUCGAGUCUGGUCAAUAUCAAGAUGGGUGAUUACUUGGAAAUGUCAGGUGCUGUAA